CCCGCUGAACUUAAGCAUAUCAAUAAGCGGAGGAAAAGAAACUAACAAGGAUUCCCCUAGUAACUGCGAGUGAAGCGGGAAAAGCUCAAAUUUAAAAUCUGGUGGUCUUUGGCCAUCCGAGUUGUAAUUUAGAGAAGCGUCUUCCGCGCUGGACCGUGCACAAGUCUCCUGGAACGGAGCGUCGUAGAGGGUGAGAAUCCCGUCUUUGGCACGGACACACCAGGGCUUCUGUGAUGCGCUCUCAAAGAGUCGAGUUGUUUGGGAAUGCAGCUCAAAAUGGGUGGUGAACUCCAUCUAAAGCUAAAUAUUGGCGAGAGACCGAUAGCGAACAAGUACCGUGAGGGAAAGAUGAAAAGCACUUUGGAAAGAGAGUGAAACAGUACGUGAAAUUGUUGAAAGGGAAACGCUUGAAGUCAGUCGCGUCGACCGAGACUCAGCCUCGCCUUGGCUUGGUGUACUUCUCGGCUGACGGGUCAGUGUCAAUUUUGGGCCUCGGAUAAUGACAAGGGAAAGGUGGCACCUUUAUAGGUGUGUUAUAGUCUCCUGUCGGAUGCGAGGGUCGGGAUUGAGGAACUCAGCACGCGCCUUUUGGUGUCGGGGCUUCGGCCUACGCUACGUGCUUAGGAUGCUGGCAUAAUGGCUUUAAACGACCCGUCUUGAAACACGG
rnacentral:rRNA from 1 species